UACGUAGGGUGCAGGCGUUAAUCGGAAUUACUGGGCGUAAAGCGUGCGUAGGCGGUUUGUUAAGACAGGUGUGAAAUCCCCGGGCUUAACCUGGGAACUGCGCUUGUUACUGGCAGACUGGAGUGUGGCAGAGGGGGGUGGAAUUCCAGGUGUAGCAGUGAAAUGCGUAGAUAUGCGGAGGAACACCGAUGGCGAAGGCAAUCCCCUGGACCUGUACUGACGCUCAUGCACGAAAGCGUGGGGAGCAAAAGGG
rnacentral:rRNA from 1 species